rnacentral:lncRNA from 1 species
GUUCCUGCCCACUCAGAUGCUAGUGAAGUUUAUGGCCGACAUUGCCAGUGGCAUGGAGUACCUCAGUACCAAGAGAUUCAUACACCGGGACCUAGCUGCCAGGAACUGCAUGUAAGUGGCAAGCCCUCUGGAAGCCCCUCCUUCUUCAAGGCGCUUACCCCGCCCCUCGUCCCCUCCCCAGGAUGAAGGGGAAACUGGAGCCUUCAGGGAGGGUUGGACCUCCAGACAAGGCUAGAAGGUGUGACAGUCACUUUUUUGUGGGAUAAAAUACCGGAAGAAGAAGAAAGAUUUUCUUGGGCUUGGGGUUUGAGAGACUCCAGGCCAUGGUCACCUGGCUCCAUCAUUGUGGGUCCUGGGAAAGUGUGGAAUCAUGGUCAAUGGAGCGUAGCCAGGUAUCACUGCUUACCUCAUGGGAGCUAGAAAGCAGAGAGAGACAUACACCCACCAGAGGAGCCUUUCCAGUGCCCCACUUCCUCCGGCUGGACCCUGUCUCUUAGUAAUAACCACUCAGCUGUGAACUCCUUGAGGCAUAGCAUCUCAUUGGACAUCACCCA